rnacentral:rRNA from 1 species
AAAUUUCCCAAUGCGGGAAACNGUGACGAGGGAAUUCCAAGUGUUCNGGNAANNCCUAGGCUUUUUUUUACUCUUAAANGGUCUUAGAAUAAGGGGUGGGNAAGACCGGUGCCAGCCGCCGCGGUAAUACCGGCNCCNCAAGUGGUAGUCGNUUUUAUUGGGCCUAAAACGUCCGUAGCCGGUUUGGUACAUUCGUGGGUAAAUCAANCNGCUUAACGGUUUGAAUUCUGCGAGCACGGCCAGACUUGGGACCGGGAGAGGUGUGGGGUACUCUCGGGGUAGGGGUAAAAUCCUGUCAUCCNGCGGGGACCACCAGUUGCGAAGGCGCCACACUAGAACGGAUCNGACGGUCAGGGACGAANCCUAGGGGCNCGAACCGGAUUAGAUACCCGGGUAGUCCUAGGUGUAAACGCUGUGGACUUGGUGUUGGGGAUUCUACGAGGAU